GACGAACGCUGGCGGCGUGCCUAAUACAUGCAAGUAGAACGCUGAAGAGAGGAGCUUGCUCUUCUUGGAUGAGUUGCGAAAGGGUGAGUAACGCGUAGGUAACCUGCCUUGUAGCGGGGGAUAACUAUUGGAAACGAUAGCUAAUACCGCAUAACAAUGGAUGACACAUGUCAUUUAUUUGAAAGGGGCAAUUGCUCCACUACAAGAUGGACCUGCGUUGUAUUAGCUAGUAGGUGAGGUAAUGGCUCACCUAGGCGACGAUACAAAGCCGACCGGAGAGGGAGAUCGGCCACACUGGGACUGAGACACGGCCCAGCAUCCUACGGGAGGGAGCAGAAGGGGAGCGUCGGCAAUGGGGGCAAACCUGACCGAGCAACGCCGCGUGAGUGAAGAAGGUUCUCGGAACGUAAAACUCUGUUGUAAGUCAAGGACGGGUAUGAGGGUGGAAAGUUCACACUGUGACGGUAGCUUACCAGAAAGAGACGGCUAACUACGUG
rnacentral:rRNA from 1 species